rnacentral:rRNA from 1 species
UACGAAGGGGGGCGAGCGUUGUUCGGAUUUACUGGGCGUAAAGGGCGCGUAGGCGGCCCCUCCUUGUCGCGUGUGAAAGCCCCGGGCUCAACCUGGGAAUUGCGCGCGAAACGGGGGGGGCUCGAGUUCGGGAGAGGAGCGUGGAAUUCCCAGUGUAGAGGUGAAAUUCGUAGAUAUUGGGAAGAACACCGGUGGCGAAGGCGG